UUGCGGCUAUAAAAUGUUGAAAUACCUGUUCCCAUACUAUCACUGAAGUUAAGCAACAUUGAGGCUGAUCAGUACUUAUAUGAGCGACCACUUGAGAAUACCAAGUACU